rnacentral:snoRNA from 1 species
UGGUGUGAAUGAUGAGAUUUAUUUAUAAAUAUCACAGUUAUCCCUGUCUGAGACAUCUGUGCUGAAGUUUUGUGAUCUGAUACACAC